CCUCUGAGUCCCCUCGGCCUUGCUCUCUGCCCAUCCGCCCCUGCUAUGGUUUAGAGCCUGGCCCAGCUACUCCAGACUUCUAUGCUUUGGUGGCCCAGCGGCUGGAACAGCUGGUCCAAGAGCAGCUGAAAUCUCCGCCCAGCCCAGAAUUACAGGGUCCCCCAUCGACAGAGAAGGAAGCCAUACUGCGGAGGCUGGUGGCCCUGCUGGAGGAGGAGGCAGAAGUCAUUAACCAGAAGCUGGCCUCGGACCCCGCCCUGCGCAGCAAGCUGGUCCGCCUGUCCUCCGACUCUUUCGCCCGCCUGGUGGAGCUGUUCUGUAGCCGGGAUGACAGCUCUCGCCCAAGCCGAGCAUGCCCCGGGCCCCCGCCUCCUU
rnacentral:circRNA from 1 species